rnacentral:rRNA from 1 species
AUUGAACGCUGGCGGCAUGCCUUACACAUGCAAGCCGAACGGCAGCGGGGGAGAAGCUUGCUUUUCCUGCCGGCGAGUGGCGAACGGGUGAGUAAUACAUCGGAACGUGCCCUGUAGUGGGGGAUAACUAGUCGAAAGAUUAGCUAAUACCGCAUACGACCUGAGGGUGAAAGUGGGGGACCGCAAGGCCUCAUGCUAUAGGAGCGGCCGACGUCUGAUUAGCUAGUUGGUGGGGUAAAGGCCUACCAAGGCGACGAUCAGUAGCUGGUCUGAGAGGACGAUCAGCCACACUGGGACUGAGACACGGCCCAGACUCCUACGGGAGGCAGCAGUGGGGAAUUUUGGACAAUGGGCGAAAGCCUGAUCCAGCAAUGCCGCGUGUGUGAAGAAGGCCUUCGGGUUGUAAAGCACUUUUGUCCGGAAAGAAAUGGCUCUGGUUAAUACCUGGGGGUCGAUGACGGUACCGGAAGAAUAAGGACCGGCUAACUACGUGCCAGCAGCCGCGGUAA